GAAGUGGUUCGACAUUUUGUGAUGGGUGUCCUUACAUAUCGGAAGAGCUGCAUUUGGAAGUAGAAAAUGCAAUUCAGUGCCCAAUGCCCAUUCGUUUAUUCUAUAAUAUGUUUCUAAUACCUCUAAUUAUGUGGAACAUGAACAAAAAGCCCUUGGAACUUGCAUGCUAUAGUCGCAUAGAAGGUGGAGAUGUUUAUUUUGAUGAUCACAGCUUGGUAAGUCAUCCAAUACCAUAUUUCUAGUCACUCAUGCAUAGCUUAACCCUACCACUAAUAUCUACUUCAUUUCUGCUCAACUUGAGUGUUGCCAUAUAUACAGCCGUGGGUUUCAUUAUGACAAUUUUAAAUUGGAUCGUAUGAUAUUGAUAGGGUUGGUAGAGGUACUAGUUGAGUGUCUGUUUUAUCUGUUAUAAUUGUAAGAUUGCUCUCCAAAUUGGUGCUUAAAUUCAAGUCUACUUACGAAAUUAGAGUUGCCACUAGUUCAGUUUGUGUAUUUCGGUGUGCAGAGCUAGAAUCCACACAAAACUCAGAAAACGGCUCUCAAAUGGGACUUCAACUAGAGAUCUAGGCAAGGGACAUCAAUUAUAAGGAGAGAAGGUGUUAGGCACCUCUCCUUGUCCGUGUUCACAUGGUCUCUUCUGGCAAUGCACUGAAAUUCGGCUUUAACAAAUCAAUUUGCACCCAUUCAUUAAGAUUAACAGUGCAAUUCAUCAAAUAAAGAAACACACAAACUGAGAAAAGAAAAGAGAGAGAGAAUUGCUUCGAUGUGCUAUGAAAUCUUCUUUCAAUGACAAUGCCAACGACCUCGAUCUUUAGUCACCUUGCCUCUGCUUUGGAAGAGUUACUAGAACCAAGUCUCAGGCCUUUUGGGCUGAGCUAUACUCAGCUACUUCCAAGCAAGACUCUUCAAUAACUUGGUCAUUCUUGUCCAUCGUCAUCUCUGCAAGUUGCUGAUAUUCUUUGAUAUCUUCUCAUGAAUCUUAAAAAGAAAAAGAAAAAAGAAAGAAUGAAAAUCCAAGACUUAGAGAAUCUAUGAUAUCAAAGGCCAUUCUUCAAUGCAAUGAAGGGGUAUUUAUAAAGCUACGUCAUGACAUGAUUGUAAUUUAAGAGAAUUUCAUGGAUAUUCAGAAAGGAUAAGUGAAAAUAUACCUAGAUCAACAAGGAUCAUUGGAUGAAAAAGGUUAGAUGCCAUUUGUAUGAGAAAGAGAGGGAAAUUCUGUUAAACAAGAUUCCCUCUCCAAAUUUCAAAAUUUUGGGUACAAAAUGGAAAUUUUACUCAUCCAAUUCUGUUACAAUGGUAAAGUGCGUAAUUAAAACUUGCUUAGGGCUCAAUUAACGCACCCUAUAAUUUGAAAUUUGGAGGUAAUUGAAUUUCUCAAGAAUUCAUAGAGUUGGUGGACCAUUUCAGGAAAUUCUUACACGGUUCUGCAAAAAAGGGUCUCAGAUGGCCAGAUGGCCAAUUUGUGCAAACUACCAUUAACCAUCCACGCAUCAAAUUAGAAUGAUUUCAGUAGCAUUGAAAAGCUCAUCCAACAUACUACUCCAUGCACCAGAAGAUCAAACAAUUUAAUAAUUAGACAAGGAAAUAAAUCACACUUGAAAAUCAAAUUUCAUCACAAAAUCACAAACUGCAAUCCCAUCAAUACAACCACCUCCAUUUACGGGCUCCAAUAUCUCAUAGAAUAAUCAAGAGCCUACUUCACUUUCUAUCCUGUAUCAAAACCCACCCAUAGCAAGCAUAUUUGAGGAAAAAUUCACAAACAUCCCACAUUCCUUGAUUUUAUAAAAAUCACACAAAAUCACUUAAAACAGGCCAGGGUUGGUUAAAGUUUAAUCACCUCUGGCCAAAGGUGGUCAAAUACUGUCUCAACCAGAGAUGCCAAAAAGUCUUCAAUGUGGGGUGGUUAAAGUUUAACUAGCUUUAACAAGGUGCGGUUAAACUUUAUCUGCCUUCUGCCCAUCAUUCCAAAAAAAAAAAAGGGUUAGACUUUUGAGGGCCCAGUCCCCACACGAUCUGAGUCAUAGCCCUAAACUCGAGAGCCACUUGAGUCUGAUCAAAUUUUAGAUUAAAUCUGAACCAUUGAUCUUAAUCAAACUAUCAAAUCUGGGCCAUUCGAGUGUGGGGUGUCUAUGAUGAUAUUGAAAUAUUUGUGUUUGCCCCUAAAAAGUUCUUUUUUUCUUGUCUUUCUCAUGCAGUGCUUGAUGCCUCUUCUAGGUUAGAUUCAUGGUUUUCUUGCACUUGUUUUCUCAACUGUAGGAUUCUAUGGAAAUGCUUGAUUCCCCUAAUCUGGUUUUCCUUUUAUUAUGUUUGUGGUAGUAGAGACUUUUUAGGCGCCAUGUUGGUGACUAUGUCGGUGCUGAUCUAAAUGAAGGUUUCAAAUCAUUUGUUGAGAAAAAAAGGUAGGAUUUAUUUUUUAAAACUUGUAUCUAUGUUUAGCUAAUGUCUCCGUAUACAUGGCAUACUAUUUUAAAAUGAUUCUAAAAAAGAUGCAUUGAUUUAUUAUUUUCUUAAAUAGAUUGUUAAUUCCUAUUAUUUGGUGUGAUUUGUUAUUGUCUUCGUGAUAGUGCUGGGAUAAUAUUUUAUUAUGGCUAUAUCAUUAAAGAAUGGAAUUCGAUACUAACUCUAUUUAAGAAAUGCAACCAAUCCAUCCCGUACCUCUACCUUGAUUUUGUGAUUUGGACCAAUUUGCUGAACUUUAUCUUUGCUAUACUCGACUAUCAUCGAUGUCAAUAAUGAGUUUGCCAAGAAUGCUCCAUUUCACCCAAAAAAAAAAGAAAAAGAAAAACAGAGAGAAGAAAAAAAGAGAGGAAUUGAUCUCAAUAAUCCAAUCUCUGGCCUCAUAGUUUCUACCAGGCCAUUUUCUAAGCCAUAAAUGGUAUGGUGAGGAUUGUCUGAUCAAGAUGAAUCUAUGAAAUCAUAAGCAAUCCAAGUGAGGACCACCAAAUUUUAGGUCCAUAUUGAUUACAGAAUCUAUCUGCUGCAAAUGUUCUUAAUCUUCCAUUUUGUAGGCCGUUGGUCAGAUGGUUAUAAUAAUCCUAUUGGUGUCUUUUUGAAGUGUGGUCCAAGUUGAUUGAUUGGACCACUGAUGAAACUGCAUAAAACCGUAAACAGGCAAAAAAAAAAUAAAAUAAAAAUUAAAAAUUAAAAAAAAAAAUGAAGAAGAAGAAGAAGAAAAGAAACAUAUGCCUUGGCUGCAUGAGGUUUAAGCCUCUCAUAAUUUAGCUGUACAAAAGGCCUCAAGACUAAUUUCUUUCUUGCCUUGUGAAGCCUGCCACGCUUAAAAUAAGAACUGCCCCAUUUAACCCCUGCCCAAAUGGCACCCUAGAAAUACAAUAUCCAUAACUUGAAGCACAUCAGAAUUAUUCAAGCACUGCUGAAAGCCUGAAACACAGCGCCGAAAGAUGAAUUAAGUUCUUUUUUCUGGAUAACCCAUGUUGGCUUGUUGUCUGAUGAGCAGUUUUUAAGAAAAUGGAAUGCCCUUUCACAUGGAUUGUUGGUACAGUAAAAAUACAAAAUAAAUAAAUAAAUAAAUAAAAACAGCAGUGUGUAUCUUUCUGUUUACCUAUUACCAUUUUGUUACUCGCCUCCGAUGUCUUUAUCUUUUCCAUAGUUAAUUGGUUUUACUACAUUAGUAGAAAGUAGACACUUUAUUCCUUGUGAGCUCUGUGCAAGAGUGGUGACUUAUGUAGGCAACUUCUCAUUCUUCUCUGGAAAUCAGACUUAGGUUGUCAGGGUUUUGGCAAUCUUCUUGCUUGCAUAAGAAACAAAAAUAUUCCACUGCAGAAUAUUCAUUUUUUGUCAUCCAUAUUCAAUCGACAAACUGAGAUGCAUGCCUCACAAAUACUGAUGCUACAUGUGUCUGGGAUCCAGGCCUUUCAUCAAGCAUGGCACAUGAUGAACAUUCCAUGUCCAGAAAAUGAAGCUGAUCCAACCAACCAUCACACUGGUGCUAUCAUGGUGAACAUUCCUUAUCCAUUGCUUUCUCCAUUCCAGCCUGAUGAGUGGAUUGCCUGCAUAUUUUGGCCGAGUCAAAGCUGUUGACAAUAUAUCCUGGCUUUCUGUGGCCACGGUGUUCUGGCUUAGAAGUCUGCUCCUUUCAUCAGGCUUGCCUUCUUUGUUCAACACACGGCUAUAAAACAACUCAGGUGGGCCACCCGCCGAGGAGUUUAAAAUCAGGCCAAAAACCUGUAAGAUAAUCCUGUGUGGGCUUCCUGAGUUUGGAUCAACCUGAUUUUUGAAAUGUCUUUUCACCCUGGUGAGGUGCACCAGAUAAAUGGGUUGCAUGGAAUUUCAUGGGUGGGCUCGCCCAGCCCACCCGUUUCUCCUAGUGUUGUGGCCUGCCUGAGUUGUGGAUUGGGCUGAGUUUUAGUCCCUGGGCCUAACAUCCAGGGACACAGCUGAUGGACGGAGUGGAUGUCACACACAUAAUAUGGCGGGCUCUGUUGAGCUCGGUGUUGUAGACUAGUCCAAUCCAUGGACAAACGACUGACAGGCAUUGAAAGGAGAAACUUUACCCUCUGUAUAGUAUAGAUGUAUCAUGAACCGAACAUUAAACAUAUUCGAUUAUCUGAGUAUCAGAUUGUGGGACAGUUAUUAGACGGUUGAAAAUGAAAAAAUAAAAUCCAAUGGUGCUAUUUCCACAAACCAGUGUCCACCAAUUACAGGGUAGGAUCUUUUAAAUCACAGCAUUAUUUGAAUUUAUGUUUUAUUAAUGAAAACUAUUUAUAGAAGUAAGUGGAAUAGCCGAAUACAUACAAACACCAAGCUCACAGAAGACCAUUCAUUAGUCGAAGCCUUUAUCAGGUAGUUGAAGCUGUGCCCCUUAUCCCAGUACUUCACCAUAGUUACUGCCCAUUUCCUCAUGCUCUCGUCUAUCGGUGAUGCAUUUCCUUGGUUGUCAUCUCGGAAUUUCCUUAGCAGGUGAAUGAGAAAUGGUAGAAAUAUGGUCGUCCACAUUUCACUGGUAUCUUUAAAGAGACCCCAGAAGUUGUUGGGGUUCAGCCUCUGAAUCAUAAAAGUAAAAAAUAAUUUAAAAAUUCAAUGUUCAUGGGAAUUCGUUUUUCGAUUUUCGUAACAUCCAAACAUAAUUUCAGCUCCUCAUUAAUGGAAUCUAGAGCCAGAGGGCACAGCCGAAUGAUAUGUGAUCAGAUGGUUAGUAAUGGCCCAAGAAGAAGUCACACCAGGUAUUUAUGGCCUACCUCUGACCAGAUGAGGAUCCGACCACCAAAAUGCUGCUUAGGCAGGUCCCACCAUUUAAGAGCCCUAGUCCCAUAACCAAGAUGGUGCUUCAUCAUGCUUGCUACACCAUACAUGUGCAAAAUUGUGGACAGUUAAAUUGAAUAACAGUCCAUAUCAAACACACAAGUGUGGCCCACAAUCUGAGAGGAGCCACAGGAAUACACAUGGGGGCCACUUGAUGAACAGCUCUGAUCCUACAGGUACUCUGUGGUGUCAGAUUUAGCCUUUGCCAUUUCUCACAUGGGUGUGUUCUUAGCGACGGCUUAGAAGCCAGUUUCCUCCGAAUCUGCAAUUUGGCCCAGCAUCAGCAAAGUCAUUGCAGAAUUUAGUGAGGAAGACUCGGAUGUAUGGGAUCUCAAGGAAAGCUGAUGCGAUCUUUCUGCUUCUGAAGGUCUCUGGAUAUUCUUCUCUGUUUGUGAUCAUCUUGAUGUUUCUUGUGUCGAAAUGCAGCACCUUCUUCAAGUAUUUCAUGGUGAACAAGUCACCAUCCUGACUAGCGAUUCGGCCUGCUUCAGACACUAUUAUCUCAGUCACCAUUGGUGCAAGCCAUCGGGUGGAUAGCUGUGUAGCUCAACGUUGAGAAUAGCACGACGAACAGUCAUACCACGAAGAACACUAGAGAGAAGUUGCUCCGGAGCCUUUUUCCUGGUAAGGAAAUGUAGAGCGUUAUGAGUCGAAAAAUAUUGAGUACAGUGAGACAGACCGUCCAUCUCAUGGGCUCCACCUUGGUUUGGCCAUGGCCCAAAAAUUGCACUGACAGAAAAACUAAUAAUCAAUGCAGUGACAAUGACCAACAUAUAAAAUGUUAAUGGUCCA